rnacentral:rRNA from 2 species
GGGAAACAGGUUAAUAUUCCUGUACUCGGUGUUACUGCGAAGGGGGGACGGAGAAGGCUAUGUUGGCCGGGCGACGGUUGUCCCGGUUUAAGCAUGUAGGCGGAUGUUCCAGGUAAAUCCGGAACGUCACUAACGCUGAGGUGUGAUGACGAGGCACUACGGUGCUGAAGUGACAAAUGCCCUGCUUCCAGGAAAAGCCUCUAAGCAUCAGGUAACAUCAAAUCGUACCCCAAACCGACACAGGUGGUCAGGUAG